UAAUUUACAUGCUAGUUACCAUUUACUAGAUUGUAAAUUAGUUUUGAAACCGUUCUUCGCGUAUACGUUCCUUUGUGUGUCUUAUUCUUUUUGAGUUUUUGUAGUACUUGGUCCACCUCUCAAUGCCUCACAGAGUACAAACUAACUUGCCAUACUUGUUAGAUAAAAAGUGAGAAAUCCAAGAGAUAAGAAAUAUAAAGAGAGA
rnacentral:lncRNA from 1 species